rnacentral:rRNA from 1 species
CUUGGCGACCAUAGCAUUGUGGACCCACCUGAUUCCAUGCCGAACUCAGAAGUGAAACACAAUAGCGC